UACAGAGGUCCCGAGCGUUGUUCGGAUUCACUGGGCGUAAAGGGUGCGUAGGUGGUGAGGUAAGUCGGAUGUGAAAGCUCGGAGCUCAACUCCGAAAUGGCAUUGGAAACUACCUUGCUAGAGGGUUGGAGGGGGGACUGGAAUGCUUGGUGUAGCAGUGAAAUGCGUAGAGAUGCGGCGGAACACCGAUGGCGAAGGCAGCCCCCUGGGCUGAGAUUGACGCUCAAGCACGAAAGCGUGGGGAGCAAACAGG
rnacentral:rRNA from 1 species